ACUUUUAAUGGAUAACAGCAGUCCGA
rnacentral:tRNA from 1 species